rnacentral:lncRNA from 1 species
UUCUCACCAAUGCAAAAGCCAAAUUGGGACCAUGACACGACAGGUUCAGGACCAUUCCCGGUCCAAGCUACUUGGUUGAACCGGUUUUCUACAUCCUUCCACUCCAUUAUUCCACCUUGAUCACCAACAAUAUCAUUGAUGAAUUUCAAUCCCAUCACUUCAAGUGCUUCAUUUUCUGCCACGUGUCCGCAUUUUUCAGCUUCAUGCAAACCCUUGGACCCGGUUUGAACCGGAUAAAAUGAAUCAAUGUCAUUUUCAACGGUGCAAGAAGAAGAAGAAGAAUGAGAAUAAGAAUAGGAAGAUGAAUAAGAUGAUGAUGAAGAGGAUGGUGAUGAUUUAAAGAGAGCUAAGAGAGAAGUUUUGGACUUGACCAUGUGUUCAUCCAUUGAUGGGUUUUGAAGAAUGAAGUUUUUAUGAUCACAAGUUAACAUGGAAAGUGAAGUUUUGUUUUCAACAUUUUCUCAAUAAAAUGUGAAGUGUAAUGGUGUAAUAAAGUUUCUUCCAUGGAAAGAUCAAGUUAAUAGAAUUUUUUUUAAAAGGAGCUAG